rnacentral:rRNA from 1 species
GAUGAACGCUGACAGAAUGCUUAACACAUGCAAGUCCACUUGAACUUCGGUUUGGGUGGCGGACGGGUGAGUAACGCGUAAAGAACUUGCCUCACAGAUAGGGACAACAUUUGGAAACGAAUGCUAAUACCUGAUAUUAUGAUUAUAUGGCAUCGUAUAAUUAUGAAAGCUAUAUGCGCUGUGAGAGAGCUUUGCGUCCCAUUAGCUAGUUGGAGAGGUAACGGCUCACCAAGGCGAUGAUGGGUAGCCGGCCUGAGAGGGUGAUCGGCCACAAGGGGACUGAGACACGGCCCUUACCCCUACGGGAGGCAGCAGUGGGGAAUAUUGGACAAUGGACCAAGAGUCUGAUCCAGCAAUUCUGUGUGCACGAUGAAGUUUUUCGGAAUGUAAAGUGCUUUCAGUUGGGAAGAAAAAAAUGACGGUACCAACAGAAGAAGUGACGGCUAAAUACGUG